rnacentral:hammerhead_ribozyme from 1 species
CUUCGACUGACGAGUCCCAAAUAGGACGAAAUGCGCAUCCUGGAU